rnacentral:misc_RNA from 1 species
UCCCCGAUUUCCGGGGCAGUCUCCCUAGAGUUCCCGACGUAACUCGCUGGCAACUAGGGAUAGGGGUUGCGCUCGUUGCGGGACUUAACCCAACAUCUCACGACACGAGCUGACGACGGCCAUGCAGCACCUGUGUUCCGAUUCCCUUUCGGGCACCCCCACCUCUCAGCAGGGUUCCGGACAUGUCAAGGGUAGGUAAGGUUGUUCGCGUUGCAUCGAAUUAAUCCACAUCAUCCACCGCUUGUGCGGGUCCCCGUCAAUUCCUUUGAGUUUUAACCUUGCGGCCGUACUCCCCAGGCGGCUCACUUCACGCGUUAGCUACGGUACCAAGGAAUCGCUUCCCCAACACCUAGUGAGCAUCGUUUAGGGCGUGGACUAC